UGUCUGAUAUAAGCAGAGAAUAUUCUGAAGUUUCUUCAAAUUUGAAGCAUAGUUUUAAUGAUCAGAAAUGGGUUCAAGAAUCCAACUCUUUCUACUGUCAGUUUACCUUCGGUGUUUGAUCAUAGCAGCCUAUACUGUUGAUAAUGGUGUUGUUGUUCUAAAAUAUUAUUAUGAUGUCUGGAAAAACACACCCCCAAAUUGGGAGGGUUCAGAUCCUUGUGGAGGCAAUUGGCAAGGAAUUAAGUGCACUAAUCCGCGUGCGAUCUCCAUUUAAUUUAUUGGUCUUUUGAGUUUUUACAUGUUAAAGCUAAAACAAGGUCUGCAGACAUCAGAGUUUUAUCCGACCUUCAAACUCUGGCUGACAGGACCUCUUCCAACAUCCAUUGGGAAUUUGAAGAAACUAACCACCUUGUAAAGGAAAUAUAUUCUUCUCAAACCAUCAGAUAACAACAAAAUUCUGUCACAAUCCUUAUAAAAAUCAUGUUCUGUUUAUUUUACCUUUCAGAAUUCUAGUUGGUUGCAGUUUUUCUGGACAAAUUCCUGCAUCUAUUGGAUCUCUACAGCGGUUGGUCUACCUGAAAAAAUCGACUCUCAGGCUCAAUCCCAG